UACAGAGGUGGCAAGCGUUGUUCGGAAUUACUGGGCGUAAAGGGCGCGUAGGCGGCCCGUCAAGUCCCGUGUGAAAGCCCCCCGGCUCAACCGGGGAACUGCACGGGAAACUAGCAGGCUUGAGUUCGGGAGAGGGAAGCGGAAUUUCGGGUGUAGCGGUGAAAUGCGCAGAUAUCCGAAGGAACACCGGUGGCGAAGGCGGCUUCCUGGACCGACACUGACGCUGAGGCGCGAAAGCUAGGGGAGCAAACGGG
rnacentral:rRNA from 1 species